UACGUAGGCGGUUUAUUAAGUCAGAUGUGAAAGCCCCGGGCUUAACCUGGGAACGGCAUUUCGAACUGGCAGGCUAGAGUGUGGUAGAGGGUAGUGGAAUUUCCUGUGUAGCGGUGAAAUGCGUAGAUAUAGGAAGGAACACCAGUGGCGAAGGCGGCUACCUGGACCAACACUGACACUGAGGUGCGAAAGCGUGGGGAGCAAACA
rnacentral:rRNA from 1 species